GCUUAAAUUAAUGAUGACUUGGAGAAAUCACACAAACGUAAAACACUGGAUUUACUGUGGCUUUAUGCAGUACUUCAGUAUUAAUUGCUUGGAAAAAAAUCCUUUGAAAGGUAAAUGUAUUUUUGGGUUAACCUUUCUUCAAAUCUUCAUAUUUCAUGCAGUAAUUUUCACAAGUGAAUAAAAAGAUGCAUAAAACCAAAAACUCGUGAUUAAUAAAAUGGACUCUGGUGUAUCAUGAGAAGGGACACGAAUUAGGCAAAGUUUUACAGGUUCAGUACUUGCCCCCUCCUUGUUGUAUCUCAGGACUGCAGAGUGGAAGGAAUUACAACUUUCACUGGAGUGUUCAAAUUUCAUAAACCAAACUUUUAUAUUACGAUUCUCUGUGCUCAAAAUAUGGAAUGCAAUAUUAUUAGACUACUUCUUGAUAUUCAGAAAAAAAAAUCAAAUGAUAAUCAAGCAGCUAACUAUAGGACUACUGCAGCUUUAUCCUGGAUCAAGGUUGUCACAUGAACUAUCUGUUUGUUUGGUAGCACUGAUCAUUUGUAGUCCUUGAGUGCUGUUAUCAUCUCCAGGUUAUUUUUUCUUUAGAUAGAAAGCUCAGAUUGUAAAAACAGCUAUCAGCAUGUAUUAUCAUUGAUAAAAGAAGAUUGUCUCUUAAGUGAAGUGUUAACAUUUGAAAUCCCAGAAUUGUAGGAUAUCCUGAGUGCAAGGAAUCCACAAGGAUCAUCAAAGUCCGGCUACGGGCCCUAAGAUUCACACCAUACGCAAGCAAUGCCAUUACAGUUGAAAUUGAUCUAUUUUGUUACAGUGAAUGAAAUAUGGAGACAUUGAUUGCAAGUCCAACUCUGUGGUCUCUUCACUCUAAUUGUAUCAGUCUUUGUCCUGUUUGAACAACAAGAUGGGCUAUUGACUUAUGGGAUUCCUUCUACUGAAGAUCUUGCAACUCUGGAAAUAUUACACAGGCUUUGCAGUAGAAACUGUCAUAUGCCAGAAAUUCAGCUGAAUGCUUCUUGGAUUUCUCUGUCUGAACACCAUGGAGAUGAUGUCUGUCACAAUUGUACAGCUGCUGCAAGUGAGAGGUCUGUGAAGAAUACAACACUUACUGUUCUGUCAGGUCUCUGCAACAUGAUUCUUACACUGAGAUGGAUAUAUUUAAGAGAGCAAACAAGCAAACCCUCCUCCAAAGAGAAGUGA
rnacentral:lncRNA from 1 species